CGACCCCAGGUCAGGCGGGGCUACCCGCUGAGUUUAAGCAUAUCAAUAAGCGGAGGAAAAGAAACUUACGAGGAUUCCCCUAGUAACGGCGAGCGAACCGGGAAGAGCCCAGGUUGAGAAUCGGGCGCCCAGGGCGUUCGA
rnacentral:rRNA from 1 species